CAUGCGCAGAGCGAGCAACAUCCCCCGCAGGCAGGGGACGCGCAUGCGCAGAGUAGCGUCGCGUGUCAGGCAAGGGAAAAGAGGAGCGACGCGCCUGCGCACAGGCGUUCUCGGAGUCCCCGUGGGACUCGGCGGCGCACGCGCAGACUGCAAUUGCCUGUCACUACCUCAACGGGGCGAUACCAUGUGAGGGAGCUCCUCGGAGCCCCAGCCGUGCAGCAGGACCCACCUGUGCCAGGUGCGGCAACAGACAGGGAACACAAAGAUGGUCCCUGCCCCAAAGAGCUUCCAAUCUAUGUGUAAGACAGGAGACUAGAGCUCGAUGGGAGGACAAGGAUGCUAGGCUGUGGUCUCGUGGCUAGUCACCUGCCUUCAGGAGUUGCCGCUUUCAGAAACGUCCAGAGAUCUGAAGACUCUUGAUAAAUUUGUGGGGAUUGGCAAGUGCCACCUUUGCCACCCCCGGCCCUGUGCAGGAGAGUGGCUUAGUUCAGAUUCCGUCCAGCAGAGGGCAAUGGUGCACAACCGGUUUAUCACCACUAGUUCUGCCUCCCCGCUGAAGGCCCAAAGGAAAGGGGUGUGUUGCACCUGCUGGCUCAUCACACUAGGUACUGUUUGCCGGAGGGAGAGGAUCUAGCCAACGAAGGGCACUGGCUCACGCUGGAGCAGCCCUAUCCAUUUUGCUAGCCAGGGCAGAAAACAUCUUGGAAGAAGAAAGAAAGAAAAGAAAAGAAAGAAGAACUGAAGUGGCACAGCACUCCUCAGACGCUGGUGCCCAGAGCAACUGCCCAGCUCACCUUCCCCUCCAACUGGCCCUGGUGUCGGUUCAACUGAGGGCUGCAUAAUGCUCAAGAGAACAGGAAAAGGGAGUCUGUCCAGAGGUCAGAUGGGACUAGGCUGGUGGUGAAUGAGCAAGGGCAUCAGCUGAGAGGCAGGCAGGGAAGCAGCCAGUGGCUGGUAGGGAUCAGCAAUAGAAGCAGCCAGCACACAGGACGUGUGCGACAGCAGCAUUGGGCAGAGGAGUUCCAAGGAGACCGUGGACAGAAGAACUGGGCUCUGGACAGCUGGGCCUGGAGGCCAGGGACUUGAUUGCCUCUGGGAGAGUGAUACAGAGUGUAGGUUGUAGCCACCUAUGAAGCCUGGGGAAUCCUACAGGGAGCUGCAACCUUUAUACCCCCUACUGGCGCCCCCAAGGGGUUGCAUUAGGAAGUGUUGGGUAGAUUUGUUGUACAAGCGUUGAAGUCCUUGUGUCUAGGGUAUUCUAUCUGUUAUUUCUUGCAGCCCUAUUGAAAUAUUCAGUGUAUUUGAAAUGUGUGAGUGUUGCUAGGGACCCAUCAGUAGUCUAGGAAGCCUUGUGCAUGGGGUGCCUAUGACACUUGUGGCACACCAAGCAUGGUGACAGACACCUAGAGGCGACAGGUGCAUCACAAUCCCCACACUAGGGGACACCUUGCAGUAGAGUCCACUACAGGGUGUUCCAUAGCCCCAAGAUUUCCAGGGAGAAAUUAAGUGAAGAGAAUGAAUCCGAUGACUUAAACCUUCUUGCUGCACUGUUAUUUUCUUGUGUCCCUUGGCAGCUGCAAUGCUUUUAGUGCAUUGUGCCUAUGAGUACGUCUUAGCUCAAUACAAAGCUGAGAUGCAAGUUCAUGAGAUGGUGCAUAAUUUAUAGGAAGACUUGGCCUUUCCCCUGCUGGUUUCAUUUCCUUUUUGUAGAAGUAGAAUAUUUCCCCUUCACUGCAAGUGUUAAAAUAAAAGCCCCUGUUUAACUCUC